UCCAAAUUCCCAAACAAGUUUGCUUGCUAAUGAGAUCGGGGGAUCCUAGCCCUUUUUUUGGACAACUUCCUACAGAGAUGCCUCUUUAGCUCACUCCAUGGCAGCUGUUUAAUGAAGUCAGGUCUUUCCUAAAGGGCUAUCUAAUGGAAUUCCCCAAUGUUAAUGGCUUUCUAGAAGACUCAGCUGAAAUCCCAUCAUAUACAAGGAAUACAAAGAGGCUGAUGACACUGAAUCAUGGAGUAUGUGGAGGUGAAGGCUUAGUUGAGUCUACUUCUGGCCAUGAAUGACUAAGGAAACGGUAUUGUGUGAACCAGGAAGAGGAAGAAGCUGAAGUGAGAGUGGAAGAAACCUAGAGGUGGGACACCAGGAAACAAUCAGAAGGACAGCUCUACCAUCUAUUACAAUUGUGGAGACACUGGUUAUGUUCAGGUUGGAUGUACUCAUGAAGAAAAUGAAGCUUUGGUGCUAUGAAACUAAGGUCUGUUAAGACCAGCAGUAGGAGGAAAAGCAGGGUCCAGAGAAGGAACCAUCUCUGAAGAUUUAAAACAGUGAGGAUGAACUCAUCAUCGAUCAUCUAUGGAGUUAUGCCACCCAG